GUUAGUUUUAAUCGUUUUCGAUAAUGUUUGUGUCGAAUAAAUUGUGAGUGGCUCUCUAGUGGGGUCAAAAGUAGUUUUUUUAUAAAUGAUAAGAAUAAACAAAAAUUUAAUCCAAAAAUUACAUAAUACCUUUUUUUUGUUAUCUUUUUGAUUUACUUUCUUACGGUAUCAUCGCCAAAACCUUUGAGACACUUUUUAAUUUUAAUUUUUGGGAUUUUUUUGUUGUACUUCAGUUAUCAAUACACAUAGAGACUUGAAACUUGGUUAUAAUACUCGUAUUGGACUUACUUAGACGUUUUAAAAUUUUCAAAUUCAUCGGACGAUUUUUUUUUUUAACAAACGUUUUGAAAUUAAAUUUAAACGAAAAUUGCAAAAAAAAAAUAAAUACACGGCACUGUAAUUUAUGUAUUACCGAACUGCGUUCAGAAUCGUCUUUGGUCAAGUAAUGGUUUAUCGUUACUUACAGAUAUAAAUUAAAUAACCUUAUACAUAAGUAUCCUACCUUUCUCCAACUUCUCACCUAACAACAGUGCCGCUCCCAUCCAAAGUAUUGGCUCUUUUUUUAUUUCUGUUUUACAACCAAUACAAAUAUGGAAUAAUAAUAACUAGAGCCCGGGAUUAUAUGCAUUUAAAAACUGUAAAAUAUGAUGCAAAUAUACAUAAAAUAAGUGGCUAAAUAUGCAAUUAUAUGCAUUAUAACAUUAUACUUAAUAAAAUAUGUUUAAAAAAAUAAAACGUUAUUUUGUAACAGUCCGUGAUGUUUAACGAGGUUAUGGAUUUUGGGGAGAUAUUCGUGUAAGUACACAAACCGCGUGAACAAAAGGUGUGUCUGUAGAAUAAAAACAAAAAACUUCUCUUGUAAUUUACGGUUUUGUGAUUGUUAUGGCUUAUUUUAGUGAUAAAUAAACUACACGUAAUUUUAUAUGAUAAAUUGUACCUAAAUUCGUACAUAAUGAAAUAUGAAAAAUUCGUUUUUGCAGUAGGUACCUAAACCUAUUGAGUCGAUUGAAAAAAAAAAAAAAAUUAUAAACCUAGUAUUGAAAUAACAAAAUAUUAAUUAUAACAUUAUACCUACACAGUAUGGAAAGUCAAUUGAUGCGUUUAUUCAUGCAAGGUCUUCCGAAUUUCAUUUUAGAGUUCAAUUUCUAUGUGGUUAAUACUAAUUUUUCAAAAGAAUGAUUUACAUAAAAAUUCAUUGGAAUCACGUAUUCUAAAAUGUUAAAUUGUCAUCAUUUUGUCACUUAUUUUUGAUGACGAAACCACUAUACUCACUUUUGAUUUUUGUAAAGCAACCUGUAUUCAAAAUUUCAUACGUAGAUUAAUAAAUUUUAUACCAGUUUUAUCAUUUGAAAAUUAAAAUUAAAUGAUGUGUCUUUAAGGUGUGUUACAAUUGACCCAGAGUUGGGGUAGUUGGGAAUUAUAGCAGUUUUUUUUUUAAUCAAAAAAAUACUUAUCUUAAAUUGCUUUUUAAAUAAGUAUUUUGGUAUAAUGCAAUAAGUAUUAAAUUCCUAUAUCGAAUUGUAGUGUUAAAAAUCAAAAACGUGUAAACCAAUUUUCAAGCACUUCUACCAGAAAUUUUGCUUCGAUUUUCAAUGAUGGCACUUUUUCAUAAAGUAAAUCUGACUAUGAAGGAACUUUAGGGGUGUCAUUUUUUGAUUUUUCCAGGAUUAUCAUCAAUUAAUGGGGAAAAAAUGGAAGAACACGGGAAAAUGUAUGAAACGUAUUUAUUCGUAUUAAUAUUUAAUUAAUUUUUAGGGGGUACUGUGUACCACUGCGUCAACUAGCGCCUUGUAACUAUGUCCAUGUUGUUAGAUGGAAGUAGAAAUGGGGCGUCAAAACUGUGAGUCAGAGGACCUCCUUGGCCCCACUACCACAAAGGUUCCCAACCUUUUUUGACUCACUGCACCCUAAAGCAGGAUCGGAUUUAGGGUAGGGCAACCGGGGUGACAGCUUUGGGACACCGACAACGAUUAAUUUUGUCUUCAAAAGUUCAAACAUGCGGGUUGCAUAUUAUGAAUAAUACUCAAUGAUCGAACAACAGCUAUGGAUUUUUCCAGCGAGUUAUUACGAUACACCAACGAAUAAUUAUAUUAUAUUUAGUUUUUUAUACUGCGGUUGUCGCGCACUCGUGCCUUUCACAGUCCAACUCUCCAACACACAGACACAAUGGUCAAUGGUGUACACACUCAUAUCCACAAUUAGUACGCGAGAUUACUUUAUAACGGAAACACAAGUGAUCGUGACAAAACUCGAGGUUUUGCUAGUGGCUCUCGGGUGAGGAAAUCGCAAGCAGGGAACUGGAUUUUUAGCGGACUCGUCAACGGUUUUUCGGCAAAACAAGCUCGGAAGUUUCCGUUCGUUAACACUAAAAAUUAAUUUCAGAUAAUUCUUGUUUCUGAUUAUGUUUAUAUGUGUUUUUUUAAAUAUUAAAAGAAUCUACUUG